rnacentral:lncRNA from 1 species
AUUGACUGAUUUUUGAGUUUUCCAGCAAUGAGAUUGGAUGGGAAUUGGAAUUGUUCCUAUCGAUCGGCAAAGAUGAUUCAUUUUUCAGUGGUGAUUCAGUGGGGGUUUGGUCGACGGGGAUCUCACUAGUUGUUCUUGGAUCGCCGGUGCUCCGGUGGUAGAUGAAUCAGUUGGUUUAUGGCGUGUCUUGUCGAAACUGGCGAUGUUUAUGGCAUCUUCC